rnacentral:rRNA from 1 species
CUGCCUCAAGGCUGGGGAUAACAUUUGGAAACAGAUGCUAAUACCGAAUAAAACUUAGUGUCGCAUGACCAAAAGUUAAAAGGCGCUUCGGCGUCACCUAGAGAUGGAUCCGCGGUGCAUUAGUUAGUUGGUGGGGUAAAGGCCUACCAAGACAAUGAUGCAUAGCCGAGUUGAGAGACUGAUCGGCCACAUUGGGACUGAGACACGGCCCAAACUCCUACGGGAGGCUGCAGUAGGGAAUCUUCCACAAUGGGCGAAAGCCUGAUGGAGCAACGCCGCGUGUGUGAUGAAGGCUUUCGGGUCGUAAAGCACUGUUGUAUGGGAAGAACAGCUAGAAUAGGAAAUGAUUUUAGUUUGACGGUACCAUACCAGAAAGGGACGGCUAAAUACGUGCCAGCAGCCGCGGUAAUACGUAUGUCCCGAGCGUUAUCCGGAUUUAUUGGGCGUAAAGCGAGCGCAGACGGUUUAUUAAGUCUGAUGUGAAAGCCCGGAGCUCAACUCCGGAAUGGCAUUGGAAACUGGUUAACUUGAGUGCAAUAGAGGUAAGUGGAACUCCAUGUGUAGCGGUGGAAUGCGUAGAUAUAUGGAAGAACACCAGUGGCGAAGGCGGCUUACUGGACUGCAACUGACGUUGAGGCUCGAAAGUGUGGGUAGCAAACAGGAUUAGAUACCCUGGUAGUCCACACCGUAAACGAUGAACACUAGUGUUAGGAGGUUUCCGCCUCUUAGUGCCGAAGCUAACGCAUUAAGUGUUCCGCCUGGGGAGUACGACCGCAAGGUUGAAACUCAAAGGAAUUGACGGGGACCCGCACAAGCGGUGGAGCAUGUGGUUUAAUUCGAAGCAACGCGAAGACCUUACCAGGUCUUGACAUCCUUUGAAGCUUUUAGAGAUAGAAGUGUUCUCUUCGGAGAACAAAGUGACAGGUGGUGCAUGGUCGUCGUCAGCUCGUGUCGUGAGAUGUUGGGUUAAGUCCCGCAACGAGCGCAACCCUUAUUGUUAGUUGCC